UGCGAAAAGCUUGGAUGAGUCGAUAAGAGGCGUUUAAUCCAAGAUAUCCGAAUGGGGAAACCCAGUAGAUGAAGAAUCUACUAUCACUUACUGAAUCCAUAGGUAAGUGAGGCAAACCGGGAGAACUGAAACAUCUAAGUACCCCGAGGAAAAGAAAUCAACCGAGAUUCCCCCAGUAGCGGCGAGCGAACGGGGAGGAGCCCAGAGCCUGAAUCAGUGUGUGUGUUAGUGGAAGCGUCUGGAAAGGCGCGCGAUACAGGGUGACAGCCCCGUACACAAAAAUGCACAUAUUGUGAGCUCGAUGAGUAGGGCGGGACACGUGGUAUCCUGUCUGAAUAUGGGGGGACCAUCCUCCAAGGCUAAAUACUCCUGACUGACCGAUAGUGAACCAGUACCGUGAGGGAAAGGCGAAAAGAACCCCGGCGAGGGGAGUGAAAAAGAACCUGAAACCGUGUACGUACAAGCAGUGGGAGCCUCUUUAUGGGGUGACUGCGUACCUUUUGUAUAAUGGGUCAGCGACUUAUAUUCUGUAGCAAGGUUAACCGAAUAGGGGAGCCGAAGGGAAACCGAGUCUUAACUGGGCGUUAAGUUGCAGGGUAUAGACCCGAAACCCGGUGAUCUAGCCAUGGGCAGGUUGAAGGUUGGGUAACACUAACUGGAGGACCGAACCGACUAAUGUUGAAAAAUUAGCGGAUGACUUGUGGCUGGGGGUGAAAGGCCAAUCAAACCGGGAGAUAGCUGGUUCUCCCCGAAAGCUAUUUAGGUAGCGCCUCGUGAAUUCAUCUCCGGGGGUAGAGCACUGUUUCGGCAAGGGGGUCAUCCCGACUUACCAACCCGAUGCAAACUGCGAAUACCGGAGAAUGUUAUCACGGGAGACACACGGCGGGUGCUAACGUCCGUCGUGAAGAGGGAAACAACCCAGACCGCCAGCUAAGGUCCCAAAGUCAUGGUUAAGUGGGAAACGAUGUGGGAAGGCCCAGACAGCCAGGAUGUUGGCUUAGAAGCAGCCAUCAUUUAAAGAAAGCGUAAUAGCUCACUGGUCGAGUCGGCCUGCGCGGAAGAUGUAACGGGGCUAAACCAUGCACCGAAGCUGCGGCAGCGACACUAUGUGUUGUUGGGUAGGGGAGCGUUCUGUAAGCCUGUGAAGGUGGCCUGUGAGGGUUGCUGGAGGUAUCAGAAGUGCGAAUGCUGACAUAAGUAACGAUAAAGCGGGUGAAAAGCCCGCUCGCCGGAAGACCAAGGGUUCCUGUCCAACGUUAAUCGGGGCAGGGUGAGUCGACCCCUAAGGCGAGGCCGAAAGGCGUAGUCGAUGGGAAACAGGUUAAUAUUCCUGUACUUGGUGUUACUGCGAAGGGGGGACGGAGAAGGCUAUGUUGGCCGGGCGACGGUUGUCCCGGUUUAAGCGUGUAGGCUGGUUUUCCAGGCAAAUCCGGAAAACCAAGGCUGAGGCGUGAUGACGAGGCACUACGGUGCUGAAGCGACAAAUGCCCUGCUUCCAGGAAAAGCCUCUAAGCAUCAGGUAACAUCAAAUCGUACCCCAAACCGACACAGGUGGUCAGGUAGAGAAUACCAAGGCGCUUGAGAGAACUCGGGUGAAGGAACUAGGCAAAAUGGUGCCGUAACUUCGGGAGAAGGCACGCUGAUAUGUAGGUGAAGCGACUUGCUCGUGGAGCUGAAAUCAGUCGAAGAUACCAGCUGGCUGCAACUGUUUAUUAAAAACACAGCACUGUGCAAACACGAAAGUGGACGUAUACGGUGUGACGCCUGCCCGGUGCCGGAAGGUUAAUUGAUGGGGUUAGCGGUAACGCGAAGCUCUUGAUCGAAGCCCCGGUAAACGGCGGCCGUAACUAUAACGGUCCUAAGGUAGCGAAAUUCCUUGUCGGGU
rnacentral:rRNA from 1 species